AAAACAAAACUGCAAGGAAUAUGUGGAACCUAACAGCAACCGCAGUCUGCCUUCUGCAGAAAACCCUUACACUGCCCAAGCAUCCCCACUCUGCUCCUCACUGCUCCUCGUGCCCCUCAGGGAAUGUGACAUAGACCCUGUUUUGGACUGGAAGACAUCUGUCCAAGGAAAAUAAACAUAAGCUCUCAGUUUGGUCACCUUCCACAUACCAGAGCAACAGAGCUAAGUUGCGGUUUGACUUUCACCUGCGUCAGUUCCCUGAACCUAAUUGGAUCCGGAGUCACCUGGAACUGCCUGCCUGCCUGGACUGAGAGAAGCCGCGGAGAAAACCCGGAUCUCCCUGAGGCCGUGCCAGAUGCUUUUGCGGUGUCCUGCGGCUGCUGCCUGGACCUCUGGCAGACAGCAGAGCGAGCACUGGCAGUGAGGCCUUCCUGCAAAYGCAGCUUGAGAACCACUUUGACUGCUGACAGACAAAGAGCUACCGUGCAGGGCAACCGCAGCAAGUGCGAGUCCCUUCUCACAAGCAGAAUCGCAGUGCGUCCCUCUGAGGGAUGGUGMCAGCAUCGCAUCCCUUCAUCUCUAUUGCCUUUCGUACUGUAACCUAAUUUUUCUUUUCCACAACUGUUCAAGCAAAGAUUGUCCAUGUAGAAUAAAGCAGGCCUAGGAAGUAAGGAAUGGUUGGUAUGAGAUCUUCCAGCAAUUUUGCUCUUGUAGUCAGUCAAGGCAGUCCUGAUAUCCUUUCAGGGUACACUUUCAGUGAGGCUCAUGAGUAUUUUCCCAUUGUAAAGGCUGAUGAAUUUAGCCCUAGGAAAUAACAACAUUCUAACAGUGGUAGUCAUUGGGCAAURGGUGGGUUUUCUUUGGAGAAGAAAAAAAAAUAUAAAGGAAGAAAACUUGGUUGAAGUUUGAUGCCAUCCUUCAGUACUGAGUGGCAGACAGAUGGGAGGAGRGAAAAAGAAAAAUGAACUGUGUCACCACAUGGACAGGUACCUACUUCCUGUUAUGGRGUAAACAAAAUUCAGCAAGGUGUUAUUCUCUGUAAGCUCUGAUGUAGCCGGUCUCUGAUAAAGAUUAAUUUCUAAAAAUCAACCUUAAGCUGAUGGAUCAACCAAUAAGACAAUGACUUGACAAAUUAUUCACUGCCAAGUGUAAGGUACUUCCAUGCCUUUAGUCUGCAUCACUGCAGACAGUGUGUUUAUUGUUGAAUUCAAUGAAAUUUAAAUCCCAUUACGGAUGUAAUUGUUCUCCCCAAGAAGAUUACAAACCGAGACCUUUCAUUCUUAUUUUAUUU